GACAGGCUUAACACAUGCAAGUCGAGGGGCAGCGGGGGUGAUGGCUUGCCAUCACCUGCCGGCGACCGGCGCACGGGUGAGUAACACGUAUGCAACCUGCCCGCCACAGGGGGAUAAGCGGAAGAAAUUCCGUCUAAUACCGCGUGACGCGGCGCCGGGGCAUCCCGGUGCCGCCAAAGGGAUUACCGGUGGCGGAUGGGCAUGCGGCGCAUUAGCUAGUCGGCGGGGUAACGGCCCACCGAGGCGACGAUGCGUAGGGGUUCUGAGAGGAAGGUCCCCCACACUGGUACUGAGACACGGACCAGACUCCUACGGGAGGCAGCAGUGAGGAAUAUUGGUCAAUGGGCGCGAGCCUGAACCAGCCAAGUCGCGUGAGGGAUGACGGUCCUACGGAUUGUAAACCUCUUUUGCCGGGGAGCAAGCGUGCGUUCGUGAACGCGCGUCGAGAGUACCCGGAGAAAAAGCAUCGGCUAACUCCGUGCCAGCAGCCGCGGUAAUACGGAGGAUGCGAGCGUUAUCCGGAUUUAUUGGGUUUAAAGGGUGCGUAGGCGGGAUGCCAAGUCAGCGGUAAAAAUGCGGUGCUCAACGCCGUCGAGCCGUUGAAACUGGCGUUCUUGAGUGGGCGAGAAGUAUGCGGAAUGCGUGGUGUAGCGGUGAAAUGCAUAGAUAUCACGCAGAACUCCGAUUGCGAAGGCAGCAUACCGGCGCCCUACUGACGCUGAGGCACGAAAGCGUGGGUAUCGAACAGGAUUAGAUACCCUGGUAGUCCACGCAGUAAACGAUGAAUGCUAACUGUCCGGCUCGAAUGAGCGCUGGGCGGUACAGCGAAAGCGUUAAGCAUUCCACCUGGGGAGUACGCCGGCAACGGUGAAACUCAAAGGAAUUGACGGGGGCCCGCACAAGCGGAGGAACAUGUGGUUUAAUUCGAUGAUACGCGAGGAACCUUACCCGGGCUCAAACGCAGGAUGACGGGUCCCGAAAGGGGUCUUUCUUCGGACAUUCUGCGAGGUGCUGCAUGGUUGUCGUCAGCUCGUGCCGUGAGGUGUCGGCUUAAGUGCCAUAACGAGCGCAACCCCUGUCCACAGUUGCCAGCAGGUAAAGCUGGGGACUCUGUGGAGACUGCCGGCGCAAGCUGCGAGGAAGGCGGGGAUGACGUCAAAUCAGCACGGCCCUUACGUCCGGGGCGACACACGUGUUACAAUGGCAGGUACAGCGGGAUGCCACGGGGCGACCCGGCGCUGAACCCGAAAACCUGUCUCAGUUCGGAUUGGAGUCUGCAACCCGACUCCAUGAAGCUGGAUUCGCUAGUAAUCGCGCAUCAGCCACGGCGCGGUGAAUACGUUCCCGGGCCUUGUACACACCGCCCGUCAAGCCAUGGAAGCCGGGGGUACCUGAAGUGCGUGACCGCGAGGAGCGCCCUAGGGUAAAACC
rnacentral:rRNA from 1 species